rnacentral:rRNA from 1 species
GACGAACGCUGGCGGCGUGCUUAACACAUGCAAGUCGAACGGAAAGGCCCUGCUUUUGUGGGGUGCUCGAGUGGCGAACGGGUGAGUAACACGUGAGUAACCUGCCCUUGACUGUGGGAUAACUUCAGGAAACUGGGGCUAAUACCGGAUAGGAGCUCCUGCUGCAUGGUGGUGGUUGGAAAGUUUCGGCGGUGGGGGAUGGACUCGCGGCUUAUCAGCUUGUUGGUGGGGUAGUGGCCUACCAAGGCUUUGACGGGUAGCCGGCCUGAGAGGGUGACCGGCCACAUUGGGACUGAGAUACGGCCCAGACUCCUGCGGGAGGCAGCAGUGGGGAAUAUUGCACAAUGGGCGGAAGCCUGAUGCAGAAACGCCGCGUGCGGGAUGACGGCCUUCGGGUUGUAAACCGCUUUCGCAUGUGACGAAGCGUGAGUGACGGUAAUGGGUAAAGAAGCACCGGCUAACUACGUG